UUAAUAAAACUUAAUGAAAGUACAGUUUUUGUUACUAUCUGUUAUUGUUAGUACUUGGUCUGGUUUCACUGAUUGAAUGUUUUUUACCAACGAAAUGUUUUUCUUUACCAGAUGGCGGAGGUUAAUCAUAAUCCAAUUUCGUUAGGUAAGUUCAGAACUGUAAAAAAAUUGCUUGUUCUUGUGUUACAUUAGAAAAAAAUGGUCCUAUAAAACUUCUUUUUUUUAGAUUCAUCAAGUGAUGAAGAAUUUGAAAAAGCUAUCGCGAAUGAAAUAAUUCAUGAAAUGGAACAUGAUGAAGGCAAGUAACUUACUUCCUGCUAAACGCGUGGCGCAAAUAUUUCUACUACAUUGAGAUCUGACUCUAUUAUCCCAGUAUCAUAUUUUCAUUUGUAUAUCCUUAACAGGUUCCACUGAAGAUCAAAAGUCUAAUGAGGAUUGCUCUUCCCAACAACCAUUGUCAUUUACAACUAACUCACUUGCAAAAGCAGAGGAAAUUAUUCUUCAACACGAAAUUAAUACUGACUGCAAACAUUCCAUCUAUAAAAAAGAUAAGCUAUUCGACAAGAAUAAGGUUGACUGUGGAAACGCUAGCAUGUUGAGUUAUUAUAACAGUUUGCGUGUUCGUCAAAGACAAAGUUGGACUCAUCCGAGUAGACAUUGAUUUGCAUAACACAGCAGGAACCAUAGUACUCUUUGUUCGCAUUGGUGUAGCACAGCUAACUUCUUUGUUAAUCAUGACGACAUCAACAGUUUGCGUAAUAGCAUCCUUAAAAUGGGGCUCGGCUUUUAGGGAAGAUGCUUCCGGGCUACCUGAGUUUUCUUCUGCCGUACAAGCUUCAUCCACAAUCUAAAGUUAUGAACACAUUAAGAAAUUUUUUAUUCUUUAAAAGAACAAAUACUCUUUCCAACUCCAAGAUUUUUAAAUCUGAUCAUUUUUUUGGAAGAGCACAGAUGUUCUUAUAAAAAACGUGUACAAAUAUUGCGAUGGAUGCAGAACGCUUUGCAGGUAGCGGUUUCAAGAAUAAAAAUACCGAUGGAAUAGCGUUUGGUAAUAAUUUAAACUUCUCACAGAGCCACAGAGUUUCGCCUAAAUAUUAAAAUUUAAAAAUGUAUUUUUACCCCCUGGUUAUUCAUGGACAAAAAGAUCAAAAGACAGGUGUUCAGAAAAUUAUUGAAGGUGAAUAAAGUUUCGCAACAAGCUUAUUUACAAAAGAAAUAAUGUGAAAAGAAGUCAAGAAAAAUUUAAGAAGUGCAAGAAAUACCUUGAGAUCGCGUUGAAAACAUUCGGACGUGAAAUGCAUACCACAAAGAACGAAAUUCGCGUCUGCUGGAUAUGGUGGAUCUCGCUUCAUAGCUGCUAGCCAUUUCUUACGACGUUGUUUAUUUUCUUGUUCGGUGGGAAUGUUAUGCCACCCUUUUAACAUCAGCUACCGAUUUUUUGGUGGAAGAGUUACCACGAGUUAAAGCACCAUAAGUAACCAUGAUAACAGUAACAUCCAUGGUAUAUUUAUGACUUGUUUGAAGUGUAAUGGACAACUGAAGUAUUCCUUCGUGCAGAAAGCUGUUGUCAUAACAUACGUCAGGAUAAACAUUAGAGCCCAGACCUUGAUGAUAACAACAAAAAGAUGGCGUCGUUUGAAAAAAUACAGUAACAAUCCUAAACUUUGAUAGACAUUUAUAUCAUUUGAAAUACGAAUUUUUAAAAAAGAAUUUGCAGAAAUUAUUCAAACGAUGGUGUUUAUUCAAUACACAAAUUUUGAAAAAUGACCGGACUUCCCCUUUAAGUAUAUUCCUGAGAACAAUAAAACCUUUUACUUUAUUAGGCAUAUUUUAGGUAUAGGUAUUAGGCAUAUUAUUUUAUAUUUGUCUCAGAAAAAAUAAACAUCGUAAAUCACAAGAUCCAAUUUAAAGACAUAGACAACGGAAAAGGUAAUCAGCUGACAUUCAACGUCGCAAUGAAGAAGAAGUGACCUUAACAAUUAAAGAAAUGGCGCGAUAUAUUAAACAUUAUGUGAAUACGAAAGAGACCUUGCUAAAUGAGACACAAUUAUUGGAGUCAUCUGACAGGGGUAGAGCUGAUGACAUCGCUCCACAAUUGCAUCAGUGUAUACAAAUCCGAAACAAAAUUACUCUCUUGCAUUUAUUUACCUUUCCUAGAUUUUAAUCAUAGGAUAAACUGAACAGGGCUACGCUUGCUGUCCUUCACAGAAGUAUUCAAAAUGUGCAAACUUGUCUGUAUAAGGCGUGUAUGUAUUUUAAAAGGGUAACAGGACGUAAUAUGGAAGCUACGGAGAAUGACGACAGUUGUAGCGAUGAGGAACUUGAUGCUGAUUUCGAAAUUUUGUCAGACUCCGAAGAUGAAUUUGUUUCAGACAAAGAAAUAGAAGAUUUCGGAGACGGCGAAAACGAAUUUGACGAGCCUGGGAAUACGGAACACCAAGAUGAUGAAUUAGUUUCGAUUUUGCUUAGCUUUUAAAUUUUUCUACUUUAUCAUUCUUUUGUAAAUUCAUUUUUAGUGAAAUAAUUGUUAUGUAUCGGG